rnacentral:rRNA from 14 species
AACGACUCUCGGCAACGGAUAUCUCGGCUCUCGCAUCGAUGAAGAACGUAGCGAAAUGCGAUACUUGGUGUGAAUUGCAGAAUCCCGUGAACCAUCGAGUCUUUGAACGCAAGUUGCGCCCAAAGCCAUUAGGCUGAGGGCACGUCUGCCUGGGCGUCACGCA